AUACGUAGGGUGCGAGCGUUGUCCGGAAUUACUGGGCGUAAAGAGCUCGUAGGUGGUUUGUCGCGUCGUCUGUGAAAUUCCGGGGCUUAACUCCGGGCGUGCAGGCGAUACGGGCAUAACUUGAGUACUGUAGGGGAGACUGGAAUUCCUGGUGUAGCGGUGAAAUGCGCAGAUAUCAGGAGGAACACCGGUGGCGAAGGCGGGUCUCUGGGCAGUAACUGACGCUGAGGAGCGGAAGCAUGGGUAGCGAACAGGAUUAGAUACCCUGGUAGUCCAUGCCGUAAACGGUGGGCGCUAGGUGUAGGGGUCUUCCACGACUUCUGUGCCGUAGCUAACGCAUUAAGCGCCCCGCCUGGGGAGUACGGCCGCAAGGCUAAAACUCAAAUGAAUUGACGGGG
rnacentral:rRNA from 1 species